rnacentral:misc_RNA from 1 species
CUGCGCGUCAACGCUGAUGCGCACACUGCUUUCUCUUCGCCCUCUUGUUGCUCUGCGACUCUCUUUAUCGCGCGAACACAUACACAUGCACAAGUACAUUGCCGGUGCUCACGUGCAUCUCAUGACACGUUUUAUUCAUGUCACUACUCCUCUUUUUCACGCCAACACUGUCGGCGUGUGUGAGCUGACGUGCUUACACACACAGAUCAGGCCACUGACUUCUCUUGCCUCUUCCUCCUCCUCACCCACCAAUGGGCAGAUAUUUCUGCUUCGAUGUUUUCUUGAUUUCCGUGUUCUCUGUGGUGAGUGCCAGCAGCGCAGCCGCCAGGCCCCCCCCCCAUCGUUUUCAGCUCUUCUCCUUAUCAGAGUAGAGUCAAGGCAGGCGCUCACAACACCAUCGCCCCCUCGUUUUAUCCGUUUUUCUACUGCGCAUAAAUACGCUUCUGGCGGCAGAGCACAGGAGACCCUUGCGUAGAGCAGAAGGGCUGCGGGUACAGCGGCGGGCGUGCCGCGCACUCGAUCUCUGACUCUCUUCACGUGUCUUUUGAUAGCGUUUGCGGGGGGGGGAAGGUGCCUGCCGCUGGAUCGCAGUACUUGACACAGUACUCUGCACUUCACUGCUCCUCAUCCCCUUUCCUUCUCGUCUUCUUUCCGCUAGAGCUGCAACGCUCUCCUGACGGGGGAGGGGACGGCACACCGCGCAGCGCGUGGUAUUUCAGGGGUCUGCACCCCAUUGUGUGGGGAGGCGAGGCAGCCUCCACUACCCCUGCCAAUGCACAAGCACCUCUGGUGGUGACAGGGUCAGGUGCCUGCGACGAAGGGAGGUCAGAGCGAUGCAUGGCUGCUGAUGCCGGCGCUCAGGCCCUGGAUGGCGUUGCGUGGGGGCGACCUGCGACGGUGAACGCGUCUGUGCAGCCCAUAUGGCCAGGCAGCGUGUGAGCGUGACUGGAGUGCUGCACCUCAUGCGCCCCUCGCUGGCCACUGGUGUGGGGAGCCUGAGCCGCCCCGCGGCGGGAUGCACGAGGUGGCGACCGGCAUAGUGGGGGCAACUGUGGUGCUGACUGCGAGGCGGCGGGUGGGUAGAGCUUGAGGGCAGGGGGCCGUGCUCGGAUGGCUGGGUCGGCGCACGACUGUGAUGCGUGUCGAGUGCUGCUUCGCGCGACGCGAUGGGCCUGCGACAUGCCGGGCGAGUAGGGUGGGCCUGCACUCAUGUUGUCUAGCAGUGCAUGAAGGCAUAG